CACGGGGGGAACGCGAAGAACCUUACCAGGGCUUGACAUCCCUUGACGACGUAAGAGAUUACGUUUCCCUUCGGGGCAAGGAGACGGGUGGUGCAUGGUUGUCGUCAGCUCGUGUCGUGAGAUGUUGGGUUAAGUCCCGCAACGAGCGCAACCCUUAUCGUUAGUUGCCAGCAUGUUAUGAUGGGCACUCUAGCGAGACUGCCGGUGACAAAUCGGAGGAAGGUGGGGACGACGUCAAAUCAUCAUGCCCCUUAUGUCCUGGGCUACACACGUACUACAAUGGCUAUUACAGAGGGAAGCAAGACCGUAAGGUGGAGCAAACCCCUAAAAAUAGUCCCAGUUCAGAUUGUGGGCUGAAACCCGCCCACAUGAAGUCGGAAUUGCUAGUAAUGGCAGGUCAGCAUACUGCCGUGAAUACGUUCCCGGGUCUUGUACACACGC
rnacentral:rRNA from 1 species